rnacentral:snRNA from 1 species
UUAAUCACCUUGUGCUAGACACCUAAUAAUAAUAAUAAUAAUACAUUUUAUUAUGGCUUUCCCAGGGUGAGGUUCAUCUAUUGCACUCCGGGUGGGCUGACCCCUGAGAUUUCUCCAAAUACUGGAAACUCAACUGCAUAAUUUGUGGUAGUGGUGGACUGCGUUUGCGCUUUCCCCUG